CUUUCUGUUCUGCCUUUACAGGAGAAAAACAAAUAAACGAAAAACUGAUUUUUUUUUUUGUUUUCUUUUGAUAUUCUAUCAUUAAGAGUACUUUGUUGUGAUUUGAGCUUGUUGAAAUGUUAAUUGAUUGGGAGUUUAUAGGGAGCUAGUUCAUUGAUAUGUUAAGAAACUUGAAGUUGACCAGUGACAUUAAAGUCAUGCUACCAGAUUGAAAAAUCCCGAGCGACGAUGCUUCAUUAGAUGAUUGUUUUUUCCAGCGUUACGAUCCUUUCGCUUUCUACGGCUGGCUGAUCUCGGAUUUCACUCAUCGCCUUGUGGAGAAUGCGUAAGCAUAUAUUUGUCUAUAAUUUUUGAAGACUUUUAUAUUGGAAUUUUAUUUGUGAGUGUAUAUGAUAUCCCAUGGAAAAGAAAAAUGGCCAGAAAAAGAACGGGGAAAGGUGAUAAUAAAUUUCAAAAUAAACGAUAAAAAUUAAUUAUCAAGAGAUCUUUGAACUGCACUCUGUUCCAUUUACAGGUGAAUACGAAAAAAAACUUUCUCGAGAAAGUUUAUAUCAGUCCACAUGAGUGCUAAAAUUCAAUUAUAUCUUUCCAACUUCAGGGAACCCCCAUCAAAUGAAUCAUUAACUCUAGCUGUUACAGUGUGUAUCUUUGCUAUUCCAGUCUAUUGGUUACGCAAUUGUAAUAGAUUGAGGCCUUCGGGUGCGCAGCAAAAAAAAUUAUAAACAAGGACGCUGAGUACCUCAAGGCACUGCCUUAGUAAAUUA